GACGAACGCUGGCGGCGUGCUUAACACAUGCAAGUCGAACGGAAAGGCCCUGCUUGCAGGGUGCUCGAGUGGCGAACGGGUGAGUAACACUUGGGUGAUCUGCCCCUUACUUUGGGAUAAGCCCGGGAAACUGGGUCUAAUACUGGAUAGGACCAUGCUGUAGGUGGUGUGGUGGAAAGAUUAGUUUCGGUAAGGGAUGAGCUCGCGGCCUAUCAGCUUGUUGGUGGGGUAAUGGCCUACCAAGGCGUCGACGGGUAGCCGGCCUGAGAGGGUGGACGGCAACAUUAGGACGGAGAUACGGCACAGACUCCAACGGGAGGCAGCAGUGGGGAAUAUAGCACAAGGGGCGCAAGCCUGAUGCAGCGACGCAGCGUGGGGGAUGACAGCAUUCGGGUUGUAAACUACUUGCAGCCAUGAAGAAGCGCUUGUGGUGACGGUAGUGGUAGAAGAAGCACCGGCUAACUACGUG
rnacentral:rRNA from 1 species